ensembl:ncRNA K03H4.7 ncRNA
UUCUCCAUCAUAAAGCGUUAUGAAUGUGGUAUAAUAGUUGUAUAGAAUGCAUUGAGAAUGUGCCCACAUCCUGUGACAUCUUCAGUUGUCUUCACAUCUUCAGACGCCAGGGCGUUACAACCACCUGCCGAUAUGUGUCUG